rnacentral:rRNA from 1 species
GAUGAACGCUGGCGGCGUGCCUAAUACAUGCAAGUCGAACGAACGGACGAGAAGCUUGCUUUUCUUAUGUUAGCGGCGAACGGGUGAGUAACACGUGGGUAACCUACCUAUAAGACUGGGAUAACUUCGGGAAACGGGAGCUAAUACCGCAUAAUAUUUUGAACCGCAUGGUUCAUAUGUGAAAGACGGACUUGCUGUACUUUAUAGAGGGCUCCCCGCUGAAUUGGCUAGUUGGUAGGGUAACGGGUUACCAAGGCAACGAUGCUUGCCCGACUGGGGGGGGGGACGGGCGCACUUGGAACGGGAACAGGGCCCAGCCCCCUAAGGGAGGCAGCAGUAGGGAAUUUUCGGCAAUGGGGGAAAGCCUGCCGGAGAAACGCGGCGGGAGUGAUGAAGGUCUUGGGAUCGUAAAACUCUGUUAAUAGGGAAGACCAGUUGUGUAAGUAACUGUUCACACCUUGACGGUACCUAAUCAGAAAGCCACGGCUAACUACGUG